GCGCAUUCUUAGAUUUUGCUUUUCUUACAAUAGAUACAUAUAACUCUUAAUAAUGUUUUAUUAACUUGGGUUUUAAAUUUUCAGAAUUCUCCUACCUCGCCUAUCCCCUAUAAGCAGGCAAGAGGACGUAGGAGAGCAGGGAAAAUUAUCAGAAAUGAGAAGAAAACAUUUACAUAUUUGCAUAAAUGGUGUGAUCAGAAGGAGAACAAGCACAUCAUUUCAGACCUGCUGUAAAUAUCAUAAAUAGAAAGGGCCACCCAGUUAGAGGACCUCAAAGUGUGUCAAGUGUUCACAAAAUAGGCCGAUCGGAAGCACAGCCGAGCGGAAAGGUCAAAAGAGCAAAACGAGGUUGAAGAGACAAUCUUUUUGUUAUUAGAAUAAAAAUAGAAACUAAAAUUAGCAUUGGAACUUGGGAUAAAUAUGUGAAACACAAUGUCCUUAAGCUUGAUUCAUUAAUACUUCCCCACGUUGGGGUGGGAAGCCACACGCCUUCUCCAUUCAGGAUGUCACCAUGUCCUUGUUUUCCUAGCUCAUUGUUUAGUGGAUCACCUCAUGAGACUGAACCUGUAUCUUCUAGACCCUCUGACAACUCAAGUAGACCUCAUUUUAAGGCUUACACCUUUUUUCUGGAAAAUUUACAAGAUGAAGACUAUCUUAGUGGAAUCGCUUGCUAGAUGCAUUCACGGAGGCGCAGCGCCUAAAUGUGUGACAAACCAUGGCAGGCAGCAGUCACCCUUCCAUCCAUAUCUGCAGGGGUGGGGGCAUAGCCCAGCAGGCCACUGCCUGGAUGGCACCGCCUGCCCCAAC
rnacentral:lncRNA from 1 species